GUCUGACGGAGCAACGCCGCGUGAGUGAGGAAGGCCUUCGGGUCGUAAAGCUCUGUUGUGAGGGAAGAAGCGGUACCGUUCGAAUAGGGCGGUACCUUGACGGUACCUCACCAGAAAGCCACGGCUAACUACGUGCCAGCAGCCGCGGUAAUACGUAGGUGGCAAGCGUUGUCCGGAAUUAUUGGGCGUAAAGCGCGCGCAGGCGGCUUCUUAAGUCUGAUGUGAAAUCUCGGGGCUCAACCCCGAGCGGCCAUUGGAAACUGGGGAGCUUGAGUGCAGAAGAGGAGAGUGGAAUUCCACGUGUAGCGGUGAAAUGCGUAGAGAUGUGGAGGAACACCAGUGGCGAAGGCGACUCUCUGGUCUGUAACUGACGCUGAGGCGCGAAAGCGUGGGGAGCAAACAGGAUUAGAUACCCUGGUAGUCCACGCCGUAAACGAUGAGUGCUAGGUGUUAGGGGUUUCGAUGCCCGUAGUGCCGAAGUUAACACAUUAAGCACUCCGCCUGGGGAGUACGGCCGCAAGGCUGAAACUCAAAGGAAUUGACGGGGACCCGCACAAGCAGUGGAGCAUGUGGUUUAAUUCGAAGCAACGCGAAGAACCUUACCAGGUCUUGACAUCCUUUGACCACCCAAGAGAUUGGGCUUCCCCUUCGGGGGCAAAGUGACAGGUGGUGCAUGGUUGUCGUCAGCUCGUGUCGUGAGAUGUUGGGUUAAGUCCCGCAACGAGCGCAACCCUUGAUCUUAGUUGCCAGCAUUAAGUUGGGCACUCUAAGGUGACUGCCGGUGACAAACCGGAGGAAGGUGGGGAUGACGUCAAAUCAUCAUGCCCCUUAUGACCUGGGCUACACACGUGCUACAAUGGAUGGUACAAAGGGCAGCGAAACCGCGAGGUGAAGCAAUCCCAUAAAGCCAUUCUCAGUUCGGAUUGCAGG
rnacentral:rRNA from 1 species